rnacentral:rRNA from 1 species
UACGUAGGGCGCAAGCGUUGUCCGGAAUUAUUGGGCGUAAAGAGCUCGUAGGUGGUUUGUUACGUCUGCUGUGAAAACCUAGGGCUUAACCCUGGGCCUGCAGUGGAUACGGGCAGACUAGAGGUAGGUAGGGGAGAAUGGAAUUCCCGGUGUAGCGGUGAAAUGCGCAGAUAUCGGGAGGAACACCGGUGGCGAAGGCGGGUCUCUGGGUAGUAACUGACGCUGAGGAACGAAAGCGUGGGUAGC